UUUGAAAUCCCUCUCAAUACACAUAGAUCUAGGCCAAAUUCGAAACCCUAGCCGCUCAAUUUUUCCAUUUUUUCUCAAAUUAGUGACAUGCCAAUCAUCCUACCACACAAGCCUCACAUAUUCGUGUAUAUUUCUAGGAUAUCUACACUUCUCGUUUAAUUUAACCCCUAAAAAUCCCUUCCGCCGUCACUACCACCACCCUACUGCCCAACGUCCAACCACCGCUGCUCCACCACCCAAACAACCCCUGAAACUCUUAUUUUGUUUGUAAACAUGACCCCCCAACACCAUUUUCUCUUUAGCAUGAUUUGGAAUUAACCCCGAUAAUGCAGAAAGUUAUUUUUCCCAGCACAUGCCAUUGAGAAACUAGUGCUCGGGUGGUCGAUUUGUUUUUGUUUGCAUCUCCCUUGAGAUUUAAGGAGAGUCGACUUGAUUCGUUUGAUACAAUCCCUAUAACUCUUUUUAUUUUUAUUUCAGUUUCUGAGUGUUUGCUCUUAGUUUCUAGUUUUUGUUUGUUCGUUUUGAUUGAUAGUGUGAUUGAUGAUUAGUCGUCUUUGUUUAGCCUAAUUGUUUAUUAAUUUGUCAUGGACCAAAUUGAUCUUAUUGUCGCUGAAUCGUCAUUUAGUUAGUCGAUAUUUGUUGUUAAAUAACUUACCAACAUUCUUGUAAGUUAUGUUUUAGGAAGUUGUUUCCUAAUUUCAAUUGUAGUUUUUGGUAGUUGCAUAAAUCUGACUUAUCUAAUCUGGUUCAUUGGAUAUUUAGUUUAGUUCCAAAUGAAGCCUUUUGUUGCUUUGUCAGUUUCAUGAUUGGAUUAAGUUUGAGUAUUUGAGUUCGUAUUGACAAAAGCCGAAAUUUAAAAAGGGUUUAGCACAUAGUUGUUUACUUUUACUGUUUAAACAUGCUGGAAAACACAACCGAUCUGCUUUAUGUUAGAAUUUGGUGAAAAGAUGAUUGUUUUGGCACACAAAAGUUAGGCCUUGUGAACAGAUUUUUGGUGAAUCAAAAUAUGUUUUAAAAGGACUUAUUUUUCCCACACAUUUGCUAGACAUUUUACACACUAAAAAAAAUAUAAUUUUAGGAGUAAAAAUCAGCAGCUAAACUUAAAGAAAGUAAGCUGAAAUGAUGAGUUUUAGGAGUGACUCUUAGGGUGUAAAUUUUUAGAAAAGUAUAAGUCUUCUUUAGAGUUCGUUUCUGGGUUUCUUCUUUAAGCUUUCGGACUGUUUAAAUACGAAUUUGCUGCUUGUUUUUUGUUGCUGUUUUACUGCUGUUUCCUGUUGUUUCUAUUGUUGAACUUUCGUUCUUCAUUGAUAUAUUUAUUUUCUGCAAUCCCAGGUAACCCUUAAACUCUGUAAUGUAAUUUAUUUUAUAGCAAUGGAUGAGGAUUUGAGCAUUUUCAAUAUGGAUGGAUGUCGAAGCUUAACCUUGAAAUCGAAUCCGGUGGUUGAAGUAUUAAAUCCAUGACUUUGUUUAAUUCCUUUGUUUAUUUUUCUUUAGCUUAAUAGUUUUUCCUAUGUUAGUUUUAAGUAGUGUUUUCUGGGUAAUGGUUGUAUUUCACAUAAGAAUAUAAAAGUUAUAUAAAGACCUUGGAGUAGGCUAAUUG
rnacentral:lncRNA from 1 species